GGGGAUCUUCGGACCUCGCGCUGGUGGACAAGCCUACGUCCGAUUAGCUAGUUGGUGGGGUAAAAGCCUACCAAGGCGACGAUCGGUAGCUGGUCUGAGAGGAUGAUCAGCCACACUGGGACUGAGACACGGCCCAGACUCCUACGGGAGGCAGCAGUGGGGAAUAUUGGACAAUGGGCGCAAGCCUGAUCCAGCAAUGCCGCGUGGGUGAAGAAGGCCUGCGGGUUGUAAAGCCCUUUAAGCGGGGAGGAAAGCCGGGGUGCAAAUAGCGCCUCGGGGUGACGUUACCCGCAGAAUAAGCACCGGCUAACUCCGUGCCAGCAGCCGCGGUAAUACGGGGGGUGCGAGCGUUAAUCGGAAUGACUGGGCGUAAAGCGUGCGUAGGCGGUGUAAUCAGUCAGCCGUGAAAGCCCCGGGCUUAACCUGGGAAUGGCGGGUGAGACGGUUAAACUAGAGUGGGCUAGAGGACUGUGGAACUCCCGGUGUAGCGGUGAAAUGCGU
rnacentral:rRNA from 1 species